GAUUAACGCUGGCGGCAUGCCUAAUUACAUGCAAGUCGAACGAGAGUAGCAAUACUCUAGUGGCGAACGGGUGAGUAACACGUAGGUAAACCUGCCUUAGAGACGAGGAUAACUACUGGAAACGGUAGCUAAAACUGGAUAGUAUAUUUUGGGGCAUCCCGAAAUAUUUAAAAGUCCUUAUGGGAAUACUCUAAGAUGGGCCUGCGGUGCAUUAGCUAGUUGGUGAGGUAACGGCCCACCAAGGCGACGAUGCAUAGCUGUGCUGAGAGGCAAUCAGCCACACUGGGACUGAGACACGGCCCAGACUCCUACGGGA
rnacentral:rRNA from 1 species